GAUGAACGCUGGCGGCGUGCCUAAUACAUGCAAGUCGAGCGAACAGACGAGGAGCUUGCUCCUCUGACGUUAGCGGCGGACGGGUGAGUAACACGUGGAUAACCUACCUAUAAGACUGGGAUAACUUCGGGAAACCGGAGCUAAUACCGGAUAAUAUAUUGAACCGCAUGGUUCAAUAGUGAAAGACGGCUUUGCUGUCACUUAUAGAUGGAUCCGCGCCGCAUUAGCUAGUUGGUAAGGUCACGGCUUACCAAGGCAACGAUGCGUAGCCGACCUGAGAGGGUGAACCGCCACACCGGAACUGAGACACGGUCCAGACUCCUACGGGAGGCAGCAGUAGGGAAUCUUCCGCAAUGGGCGAAAGCCUGACGGAGCAACGCCGCGUGAGUGAUGAAGGUCUUCGGAUCGUAAAACUCUGUUAGUAGGGAAGAACAAAUGUGAAAUUAACUAUGCACGUCUUGACGGUACCUAAACAGAAAGCCACGGCUAACUACGUG
rnacentral:rRNA from 1 species